AUGUUUAAUCACAGUCAGAGAGCCGCUCAUAAACACCUACCAUGGCGGCAGAGGAACCCAAAGAGGACGAGAAGGGUCUGGCUGCAGACCAUGGGCGAGUGGAGCUCCACUCUCAAACCGGAAAUACGUCACCUCCACUUGAAAACAUCAAGAUGGCGUCGCCGGGAGUACUUCAAACUUAAACUCAGCCCAGCAAUCAGAUGCAUCAGAACAACAAAGCACAACUGUGGUGCCCCAGGCACCUUCAGCAACAAAGAUUUAACAACACUGUCAGUCAGGAGCAUAUUUAACAGGAGGCACACUUCAGCUGGCUUGAUGGUGACUUCAGUAAGUGUGGUCAACCCUCUUGUUUUUGUGGCUAUAACAAUUAGACUAAGUAAUCUCACUCUCUUCCAUUUCCCUAACAUUACCCUUUUUUUUUGUUGA
rnacentral:lncRNA from 1 species